CCUACGGGCGGCAGCAGUAGGGAAUUUUGCGCAAUGGGCGAAAGCCUGACGCAGCAACGCCGCGUGAUCGAGACGCCCUUCGGGGUGUAAAGAUCUGUCAGUGGGGACGAAACUUGACGGUACCCACAGAGGAAGCACCGGCGAACUCCGUGCCAGCAGCCGCGGUAAUACGGGGGGUGCAAGCGUUGUCCGGAAUCAUUGGGCGUAAAGAGUUCGUAGGCGGCACGUAAAGUCGGGUGUUAAAAGCAGCGGCUCAACUUCUGUACGGCACUGGAUACUUGCGAGCUAGAGUGCGGUAGAGGUGAAGGGAAUUCCUGGUGUAGCGGUGAAAUGCUUAGAUAUCAGGAGGAACAUCGGUGGCGAAAGCGCUUUACUGGGCCGUAAUUGACGCUGAGGAACGAAAGCCAGGGUAGCAAAUGGGAUUAGAUACCCUGGUAGUC
rnacentral:rRNA from 1 species